rnacentral:rRNA from 1 species
AUUGAACGCUGGCGGCAUGCCUUACACAUGCAAGUCGAACGGCAGCACGGGUGCUUGCUCCUGGUGGCGAGUGGCGAACGGGUGAGUAAUACAUCGGAACAUGUCCUGUAGUGGGGGAUAGCCCGGCGAAAGCCGGAUUAAUACCGCAUACGAUCUACGGAUGAAAGCGGGGGACCUUCGGGCCUCGCGCUAUAGGGUUGGCCGAUGGCUGAUUAGCUAGUUGGUGGGGUAAAGGCCUACCAAGGCGACGAUCAGUAGCUGGUCUGAGAGGACGACCAGCCACACUGGGACUGAGACACGGCCCAGACUCCUACGGGAGGCAGCAGUGGGGAAUUUUGGACAAUGGGCGAAAGCCUGAUCCAGCAAUGCCGCGUGUGUGAAGAAGGCCUUCGGGUUGUAAAGCACUUUUGUCCGGAAAGAAAUCCUUGGCCGUAAUACGGUCGGGGGAUGACGGUACCGGAAGAAUAAGCACCGGCUAACUACGUG